rnacentral:antisense_RNA from 1 species
GCGCUCACCUUGAGGCCGCGGAUCUCGCCGAGGUGCAGCUGCAGGCGGCGGUUCACCUCGCGGAUGAGGUUGCUGUGGUCCAGCAUCGCGCUCACCUUCUCCGCCUCGGCGCGCCGCAGGCUGCGGAUCAGCUCCUCCUUGCUCCACUGCAGCAGCUCCUCGUCCGACACUUUGGACAGGUCCUCCACGGGCGCGGGCGCGGCCGCGGACGAGGCGGCCGGGGCUGGGGAACAACUUUCCGCCGCCGCCGCAGCCGCCGCCGCGCCUCCGGCCGCCUUCGACAUGGUACUAUGGCAGAAAUGGCCAGGGAAGGGUUUAUCUAACCACCAGGAGUACGCAAAGAAGAGAGGUCCAGCCAGCCUGCCUCUCAGAUUGUUAAGAUGCCAGGUGUCUUUUGGCUCAUGGAAACAGCUGUUCUGCCCCCUCCCGAACCCUAGACUCACAGCUACACUCUGUGGGGAAAGCACAAAGGGAAGGCUGCUUCCUAAAGAGAUCUCCAUAUGGAAGAGCUGCAGAUCACAAACAACCCACACAGCCAUUGUAACGCCUGCUUGCCUGGUCAUUUGUGUUUCUGAGAAGCCAUAACUCCAAGAAUAGCGAAGGGAAGAAAAUGCUAAAAAGCAGGGGCUGCCUAACAGGUCUGACUUGCAAGGCAAACUCCUGGCAGGCCUGGCCAGCUUCUGCUUGUCCCAGUGCAAUGCCACCCCCAUAGGAUCUGGAAUUUUUCAGUCCCUUUGCUAAGAUUCCUGAAAUAGACUUAAUGAAGAGCCUCCGAAGUGAAAAUUCCUCUUCACACAUUUGCUCAAGAAGAUUGCUUUUCUCCUAACACAGAAAUCAGCUGCCUUGAGGAUGUGCAAGUUUGAUUAGGGAGUCUGCUCUUGCCUAUUUCUCAAACAGUUCAGGCCCUGACAGAAUCAGUGUCACCCCUAAGAUAUUUGCUUCAAAUGCCCCCCAUAUAAUCAACACUUAUAAAUGAUAAACCAAAAGUUGAGGUACACUCAUUGCCUUUCAGAAUGAAACCUUCCAAGGGGCCAUGAUCCUAUUGUGACUGGACAAGAACUAUCAUGGAUGAGGCAUAUCAUCUUUUAGAACCAUCUAUGGAACAGAUAUUAUUAUUCCAUUUUGCAGAAGAGGAAUCUGAGGCUCAGGCCAGACAGAUGCAGCUAACGUUGAGUGGCAUCCUGAUCAUCUUCAUCACAAAAGGCAGGAGUGCUCUGAGGACUGUAGGUGGCUCUCAGAACCCUGACCUCCACGGCAGCCAUCAAGGAGUGGCAAAGGGGGUCCACAGUGGCAUAUGCAGUGAGAUCCAAGUUUUAGGCAUUCGGAGUAGAGCAAGCCACGAAUGAGAACAGGUUCUGAAAGUGACAGAAAAGGAGUCACUUUUUUGGUUCCAUAUGAACUUUAAAAUAGUUUUUUCCAAUUCUGUGAAGAAAGUCAUUGGUAGCUUGAUGGGGAUGGCAUUGAAUCUAUAAAUUACCUUGGGCAGUAUGGCCAUUUUCAUGAUAUUGAUUCUUCCUACCCAUGAGCAUGGAAUGUUCUUCCAUUUGUUUGUAUCCUCUUUUAUUUCCUUGAGCAGUGGUUUGUAGUUCUCCUUGAAGAGGUCCUUCACAUCCCUUGUAAGUUGGAUUCCUAGGUAUUUUAUUCUCUUUGAAGCAAUUGUGAAUGGGAGUUCACUCAUGAUUUGGCUCUCUGUUUGUCUGUUGUUAGUGUAUAAGAAUGCUUGUGAUUUUUGUACAUUGAUUUUGUAUCCUGAGACUUUGCUGAAGUUGUUUAUCAGCUUAAGGAGAUUUUGGGCUGAGACAAUGGGGUUUUCUAGAUAUACAAUCAUGUCAUCUGCAAACAGGGACAAUUUGACUUCCUCUUUUCCUAAUUGAAUACCCUUUAUUUCCUUCUCCUGCCUAAUUGCCCUGGCCAGAACUUCUAACACUAUGUUGAAUAGGAGUGGUGAGAGAAGACAUCCCUGUCUUGUGCCAGUUUUCAAAGGGAAUGCUUCCAGUUUUUGCCCAUUCAGUAUGAUAUUGGCUGUGGGUUUGUCAUAGAUAGCUCUUAUUAUUUUGAAAUACGUCCCAUCAAUACCAAUUUAUUGAGAGUUUUUAGCAUGAAGGUUGUUGAAUUUUGUCAAAGGCCUUUUCUGCAUCUAUUGAGAUAAUCAUGUGGUUUUUGUCUUUGGUUCUGUUUAUAUGCUGGAUUACAUUUAUUGAUUUGCGUAUAUUGAACCAGCCUUGCAUCCCAGGGAUGAAGCCCACUUGAUCAUGGUGGAUAAGCUUUUUGAUGUGCUGCUGGAUUCGGUUUGCCAGUAUUUUAUUGAGGAUUUUUGCAUCGAUGUUCAUUAGGGAUAUUGGUCUAAAAUUCUCUUUUUUGGUUGUAUCUCUGCCCGGCUUUGGUAUCAGGAUGAUGCUGGCCUCAUAAAAUGAGUUAGGGAGGAUUCCCUGUUUUUCUAUUGAUUGGAAUAUCGCCAAGUCCAUCCUAAGCCAAAAGAACAAAGCUGGAGGCAUCACACUACCUGACUUCAAACUAUACUACAAGGCUACAGUAACCAAAACAGCAUGGUACUGGUACCAAAACAGAGAUAUAGAUCAAUGGAACAGAACAGAGCCCUCAGAAAUAACGCCGCAUAUCUACAACUAUCUGAUCUUUGACAAACCUGAGAAAAACAAGCAAUGGGGAAAGGAUUCCCUAUUUAAUAAAUGGUGCUGGGAAAACUGGCUAGCCAUAUGUAGAAAGCUGAAACUGGAUCCCUUCCUUACACCUUAUACAAAAAUCAAUUCAAGAUGGAUUAAAGACUUAAACGUUAGACCUAAAACCAUAAAAACCCUAGAAGAAAACCUAGGCAUUACCAUUCAGGACAUAGUCAUGGGCAAGGACUUCAUGUCUAAAACACCAAAAGCAAUGGCAACAAAAGCCAAAAUUGACAAAUGGGAUCUAAUUAAGCUAAAGAGCCUCUGCACAGCAAAAGAAACUACCAUCAGAGUGAACAGGCAACCUACAAAAUGGGAGAAAAUUUUCCCAACCUACUCAUCUGACAAAGGGCUAAUAUCCAGAAUCUACAAUGAACUCAAACAAAUUUAC